GACGUGCUAAUCUGCGAUAAGCGUCGGUAAGGUGAUAUGAACCGUUAUAACCGGCGAUUUCCGAAUGGGGAAACCCAGUGUGAUUCGUCACACUAUCAUUAACUGAAUCCAUAGGUUAAUGAGGCGAACCGGGGGAACUGAAACAUCUAAGUACCCCGAGGAAAAGAAAUCAACCGAGAUUCCCCCAGUAGCGGCGAGCGAACGGGGAGCAGCCCAGAGCCUGAAUCAGUGUGUGUGUUAGUGGAAGCGUCUGGAAAGGCGUGCGAUACAGGGUGACAGCCCCGUACACAAAAAUGCACAUAUUGUGAGCUCGAUGAGUAGGGCGGGACACGUGGUAUCCUGUCUGAAUAUGGGGGGACCAUCCUCCAAGGCUAAAUACUCCUGACUGACCGAUAGUGAACCAGUACCGUGAGGGAAAGGCGAAAAGAACCCCGGCGAGGGGAGUGAAAAAGAACCUGAAACCGUGUACGUACAAGCAGUGGGAGCACGCUUAGGCGUGUGACUGCGUACCUUUUGUAUAAUGGGUCAGCGACUUAUAUUCUGUAGCAAGGUUAACCGAAUAGGGGAGCCGAAGGGAAACCGAGUCUUAACUGGGCGUUAAGUUGCAGGGUAUAGACCCGAAACCCGGUGAUCUAGCCAUGGGCAGGUUGAAGGUUGGGUAACACUAACUGGAGGACCGAACCGACUAAUGUUGAAAAAUUAGCGGAUGACUUGUGGCUGGGGGUGAAAGGCCAAUCAAACCGGGAGAUAGCUGGUUCUCCCCGAAAGCUAUUUAGGUAGCGCCUCGUGAAUUCAUCUCCGGGGGUAGAGCACUGUUUCGGCAAGGGGGUCAUCCCGACUUACCAACCCGAUGCAAACUGCGAAUACCGGAGAAUGUUAUCACGGGAGACACACGGCGGGUGCUAACGUCCGUCGUGAAGAGGGAAACAACCCAGACCGCCAGCUAAGGUCCCAAAGUCAUGGUUAAGUGGGAAACGAUGUGGGAAGGCCCAGACAGCCAGGAUGUUGGCUUAGAAGCAGCCAUCAUUUAAAGAAAGCGUAAUAGCUCACUGGUCGAGUCGGCCUGCGCGGAAGAUGUAACGGGGCUAAACCAUGCACCGAAGCUGCGGCAGCGACACUAUGUGUUGUUGGGUAGGGGAGCGUUCUGUAAGCCUGUGAAGGUGUACUGUGAGGUAUGCUGGAGGUAUCAGAAGUGCGAAUGCUGACAUAAGUAACGAUAAAGCGGGUGAAAAGCCCGCUCGCCGGAAGACCAAGGGUUCCUGUCCAACGUUAAUCGGGGCAGGGUGAGUCGACUCCUAAGGCGAGGCCGAAAGGCGUAGUCGAUGGGAAACAGGUUAAUAUUCCUGUACUUGGUGUUACUGCGAAGGGGGGACGGAGAAGGCUAUGUUGGCCGGGCGACGGUUGUCCCGGUUUAAGCGUGUAGGCUGGUUUUCCAGGCAAAUCCGGAAAACUAAGGCUGAGGCGUGAUGACGAGGCACUACGGUGCUGAAGCAACAAAUGCCCUGCUUCCAGGAAAAGCCUCUAAGCAUCAGGUAACAUCAAAUCGUACCCCAAACCGACACAGGUGGUCAGGUAGAGAAUACCAAGGCGCUUGAGAGAACUCGGGUGAAGGAACUAGGCAAAAUGGUGCCGUAACUUCGGGAGAAGGCACGCUGAUAUGUAGGUGAAGUCCCUCGCGGAUGGAGCUGAAAUCAGUCGAAGAUACCAGCUGGCUGCAACUGUUUAUUAAAAACACAGCACUGUGCAAACACGAAAGUGGACGUAUACGGUGUGACGCCUGCCCGGUGCCGGAAGGUUAAUUGAUGGGGUCAGCGCAAGCGAAGCUCUUGAUCGAAGCCCCGGUAAACGGCGGCCGUAACUAUAACGGUCCUAAGGUAGCGAAAUUCCUUGUCGGGUAAGUUCCGACCUGCACGAAUGGCGUAAUGAUGGCCAGGCUGUCUCCAC
rnacentral:rRNA from 1 species